rnacentral:rRNA from 1 species
CAGCCGCCGCGGUAAUCCGGAGGGUGCGAGCGUUAAUCGGAAUAACUGGGCGUAAAGGGCACGCAGGCGGUUAUUUAAGUGAGGUGUGAAAGCCCCGGGCUUAACCUGGGAAUUGCAUUUCAGACUGGGUAACUAGAGUACUUUAGGGAGGGGUAGAAUUCCACGUGUAGCGGUGAAAUGCGUAGAGAUGUGGAGGAAUACCGAAGGCGAAGGCAGCCCCUUGGGAAUGUACUGACGCUCAUGUGCGAAAGCGUGGGGAGCAAACAGGAUUAGAUACCCGCGUAGUCCCUGUCUCUUAUAC